GGGCUGGCUUUAGCCCAACGGUUCCUUCAAGUCUGGCUUCCCAACCGCCCUGGCCGAUGGGUCCGGUGGUUCGAGACCCACGGGCACACUCCAGUCCUUUA
ensembl:misc_RNA Vault Vault RNA